UUUUUUUGUCAGCUAAAAGCAGUUGCACGUCUUUGGAUGAAACAACAAUGCAGCUGACACCUUGAUGAGGUGCAGAGAGUCGGGGAGCGAAGAAGCAGUCGCAGACGAGUCAAAUGCUGGAUAUUCAGUGCAACUAAAAUGAGGCCAUCGUCGCUAAUCAGCGUGGUUGAUCUGAGGAGGUGGAGCGGCCAGCUGAAUCUGUGACUGUUGGAGCAGAGACGAUUAAGAGGCAUUCAGGGAUUAGAGCGCUACAGCGGCCGCAUUGCCCCUCGCCAAUGCCUAAUUCUGAUUAACAAGAGACCUUCUGCCUUAAACCCCCCUGUCCGACCCUCAGCCCACCACAAAACAAGGGGCAGAGCAUCACACCCAUCAAAAACACACACACACAUGCUCAAGACCUCCUCCACCCUCUUCCCGCCAUUUUUAUUGGUAUGGUCCAUAUGGUGUUCAUUAGAUAAAUGAGGGAACGAGGUGGGAUAGUGGUUUCGGCUGAAGGAUACUGACGAUUAUAUUUAGGGGAGAGUUAGGUAAACUGUGCCAUUUUUGACUUAACUUGUCCUCUUGGCAAACAGCAAUUAGAAGUAAAUCUAAUUAGAAGAAAGCACUCAAUGAUUUCUCAUAUUUCGUUUCAUGGUGUUCGUUGCAAACAUAAAAGAUGAAUUUUAGGGGAAUACUUUAACAAUUUACAUUUCAACAACAAACGUGAACAUACUGUGAACUUAUGAAUUAACUUAUGAAUGCACAAUUCAAGUCUCAUUUUGCUGCACAUUAUUCAUAUUUCUAUAUAUAUUUACCUUAAAAAAGCUGACAGAGGAACAAAAGCACCUGGGAUUUAACUGGAACAAAACACCCUUUUCACGAAGCGUGAAUGAUUUCUUUUGCCUAUUGGAAAUAAGGUCGCCCGUUCGUAUUCAUCACAUUUUGAGGAGCUCAUUUUUUCAGCACUUUUUUUUUCAUGGCAGCGAGUUUUGCACUUGCAAAAGCAACUCAUAUGUUCUUCAGAUAAACUUUUACUGUUGCACAUUCAUAUUUUGCAGUGAUUUGGGGCCCAGUGCACACAGUAAUGAGAGCUGUAAUCCACAAUAACACGAGCACUCAUGCAGCAUGCAUUGGGGCCCUCAGGGGCCCUCUGGGGAAUUGCAUGAUUGUCACAGGCCUUAUUCAGGCAGAAGGAGUAGAAGUGCAUCUCAUUAGCUUUAUUUCAACAAACUCAUUUGUCAUCAGAUUUCAGAAAACGGUGUUUACAUUAACAGACAGAAAUGCCAUUCUUGCAACUUUAAUCUUAUACAAAAUCAAUCAAUAAAUAAUUUGAAAAUCAAAA